CACCAGAAGCAAUCAUCUCAUGGCUUGAAAAGGAUGGAAAGACGAAUCCAGGGCAAUCACAUAGCAUUAACUCAUCAGACAUAAUCAACGUUUGGAAAUGCUUUGUCUUAUUUAUUUAUUUGAUUAACAAUUCAAACUUAUCUUUGUAUUUAUUAGUAUCUUCAUUUCCUUGACAAUUCAAGCAUAUCUUUUUUGUGUUUCUUUUUUUUUUUCUGAGUGUUUAAUUUUAUUUGAAUUUCUUAAUUUGUUCAAAGGAUGCUUUGGUUAGUAGCCAUCUUAUUUAAUGAUUUUUUUUUUCUUUUGGUUUUUGAGCACCAAUGGUAUUGGUGAAUGGUGAAGAGGUUUGUAUGGGUUCAUGUAUCUUAAACAUGUAGUGAGAAGUGAGGGUUUUGUUUUAGUAUUUUAGAUAAUUUGAGGAACAUGUAGAUACUAAGAUUUGUGGUUGCUUUCUUAAACCAUGAUAAAGCAGUCCAUGUAAUUUUAACAUAGAUAUAAUUUUUAUCUAAUGCAUGAGUAUAUGAAAUGUUAAUACGAUAAUAUAUUGGGCAACACUAUGUGAUUUAAAAUGCGAAGAGAGACAAUGAACCAUGUUUGAUAUUUUAUUUGUGUUGGUUGUUUUAAAUUUGAGCUUUUUUGAGUUGGAUUCAUGUGUUUUGUUUAAGAUAUCAUUUUUGGUUUAUGAAUGGUUUGCCAGUGUGAAAGUUUGCUUAUUUUUUACGGUUGGAUUCAUGGGUUUUCUUAAGCUUUGAAGUUCUUAGUUUUUAUCAAGAAAUUUAAUCUGGGUUUCAUUUAUUUGUGAAACUAGCACUUUUUUGUGAAGAUUUUCAGUAAAUGAUUGCUUAUUUGGCUUUAAAUUUGAUCUCUUUAAAUUUUCAGGUUGUUCUAGACUUUGUCAACAGUGCAGAGUUGUCUUCGGCAGAGCUCGAUAGCAACUCUAGGUAAACAAGAGCUACUGGACUAUUAUGCACAGGGGAAUGGAAGGAAAGUAAAAAUUCAGGCUUUUAAUACAAAUUGGAAAUUGAGCGACACUAAACAAACGAUAGAUUUUCAAAGUAGGACCAACCUUUCAAAAGGCACUUCAGGUUCUGGAUUUUUUUUUUUUUUGUUAUGCUUUUGUUAUAUCAGGUUCUAAAUUGCGCAACACAAUUUGUCCCUUUGUCUAAUCUACUCCAAAGACAGGUUGAGCAAAAGGAGGAA